AUUGAACGCUGCCGCAGGCCUAACACCUGCCAGUCGAACGAGUGGCGGGCGGGUGAGUAAUGUCUGGGAAACUGCCUGAUGGAGGGGGAUAACUUCUUGAAACGGUAGCUAAUACCGCAUACCAUCAGAUGUGCCCAGAUGGGACUAGCUAGUUGGUGGGGUAACUGCUCACCAAGGCGACGAUCCCUAGCUGGUCUGAGAGGAUGACCAGGAAGACUGGAACUGAGACACGGUCCAGACUCCUAGGGGAGGAAGCAGUGGGGAAUAUUGCACAAUGGGGGAAAGCCUGAUACAGCCAUGCCGCGUGUAUGAAGAAGGACUUCGGGUUGGAAAGUACUUGAAGCGGGGGGGCGUUACCCGAAGAAGAAGCACCGGCUAACUCCGUGCCAGCAGCCGCGGUAAUAC
rnacentral:rRNA from 1 species